rnacentral:rRNA from 1 species
GGCGAGUGAAGCGGCAAAAGCUCAAAUUUGAAACCCUCGGGAUUGUAAUUUGAAGAUUUGGCAUUGGAGAAAGCUAACCCAAGUUGCUUGGAAUAGUACGUCAUAGAGGGUGACAACCCCGUCUGGCUAACCGUUCUCCAUGUAUUGCCUUAUCAAAGAGUCGAGUUGUUUGGGAAUGCAGCUCAAAGUGGGUGGUAAACUCCAUCUAAAGCUAAAUACUGGUGAGAGACCGAUAGCGAACAAGUACUGUGAAGGAAAGGUGAAAAGAACUUUGAAAAGAGAGUGAAAUAGUAUGUGAAAUUGUUGAUAGGGAAGGAAAUGAGUGGAGAGUGGCCGAGGUUUCAGCCGCCCCUCGUGGGCGGUGUACUGCCGACGCCGAGUCAUCGAUAGCGAGACGAGGGUUACAAAUGGGAGCGCCUUUCGGGCGUUCUCCCCUAACCCUCCACACUGCCACCGACGACAUAAUCCACCCAUUUCACCCGUCUUGAAACACGGACC